rnacentral:lncRNA from 1 species
GAAAUCCCGAGAUUUCGGGAUGGAUUCGGUGGGAGGUUUCCUGCUCGGUUACAAACAGGGAGGAGGAAGGGGGAGACGACGCUGUUCCGCGGGCCCCACCCGUCAUUGGAAGAAGGACAGGGUCCCGGCUGUCAGCGAGUGGAAGGAGAAGAGGGCGCGCCCGGUCCUAGGCUGUGCGCGCCUGAUGGGCCGCAGAGCGGCCUGCGCAGGGGGGGGUUCAGCUGGGCUGCGGCCUAGUUAUUCCAGGGAGGUUUUCCUUUUUUUUUCUUUUCUGGUUUCUUUUCCAAAACAUUUUCCAAAUAGAAAUCUUGAAUGCAGAUAAAAUCAAACAAAAGGCAGCAACACAAAAUUAAAUAUGCACUAGCAUGAAAUGCACAACCAUGUUUUCUAAACUUAUAAUAAAUUUAAAUUUUGACCAAAACUAUUUUAUUCACUAGAUUAAAUGCUCACCAAAAAUGCUUAAUUAAAUCAAAUUAAUUCCUAUUGAUUGAAAACAAAUUUUUGGGUGUUACAAACUCUACCCCCCUUAAAAGAAUCUCGUCCUCGAGAUUGAGCAGUGCAUCAACAAACCACUGUGGUUAUGACUCUAAACAAUCAUUCUCUCUUUCCCAAGUUGCUUGUGUCUCUAAAUACCAAUUCCAUUGUACUAGCAAAUUCAAUGUCUCUAACCAAGUAACAUACCUCGUAACUUAUCUGAAAAUCUAUUCCCUACACAGUCCUGAAGAUGAACACCAUCAUCCAGUUGAUUCACUGUAGCUGUGGGUGGAGCUUGCACUGCUACAUCCACACUGAUUCUCUCCCCCUUGGGUGUUGUCACCACUACUACUUUCUCUUUGCACUUAAUUUCCAUAGCAUAUUUCUUCAUCCAAUCCAAACCCAAUAUCACAUCUAUGCCUGAGGCUCUCAUAACCAUGGGACUAACCGGGAAAUCUACCCCCCUUAACGAAAGACUUGCUGAGGGGCAACAAUAUGAAACUGGUAUAGUCCCUCCCGGUGAGUUUACUAGCAUAUGGGUUUUCAUGGCAACUAGUGGAAUACUAUGAACUCUAACAAAUGCUUGUGAUAUGAAAGUAUGCGAAGCUCCAGAAUCAAAUAAAACUAUAGCGGGAAUAGAGUUGAUACUGAACGUACCCAUCAUAAUCUCCGGUCCCUCUUGUACUGUCUCUGCAGCCACAUGGUUCACCUUUGCUCCAUGAGAAUUAGACUUUUGAUUGUUGUUCUGCUGGUUGAACCUCUCUGGACAAUCAUAUGACAUAUGACCUUCUUUCCCACAGCGAAAACACCUAGUAGGGGUGUUGGAAGCACUUCUCUUCAUAGAGGUGGCAUUUGAAUUUCCCGAGCGAGAAGUCGGCUGUCCACUCUGUUGUUGAUUAGAAUUAUGCUGAGAUUGUUGGUUGCGAUCCCCUUGACUAACUAGUCCAUGGUACCUCUGUUGAUCGCCCUGUUGAGAAUUGAAACGUUGGCGGUUGUUGCCUCCAGAACCUUGGGCUAGCAUCCUUCUCUUCUUGUCCUGGCCUUUUCGCAUGUUAUCCAACACAAUAGCACGGUUCACCAGAGCCUGGAAGGUAGGAUAUGUGUUUCCAGCUAGUUGCAACCUAAGCUCAUAGUAAAGACCUUUCAUGAAGAGACGUUGUUUGUCAGCAUCUUCUCUGACUUCGUUUGGGGCAUAGCGAGCCAGUUGCUCAAACAUGUCAUGAUACUCAGCCACAGUCAUAGAACCCAUACGUAGAGAUCUGAAUUCUUCUUGUUUGAGCUCCAUCAUUCCUUCAUUGAUAUGUCGUGCUCUAAAGUCUCUACAAAAUUCUAACCAAGUGAUAGGAGGAGCAUUGUCGGGACGAGCAGCUUGAUAUGACUCCCACCAUGUCUGAGCUGCUCCCUGAAGUUGUCCAGAAGCAUACAACACCUUCUCUAAGUCAUUACACUGUGCCAUGUUCAGUUACCUCUCCACAGCACGUAGCCAAUCAUCUGCCUCCAUAGGAUCAGCUGAAUGUGUAAAUACCGGAGGUCUUCCCUUCAUGAAUUCCCACGCUUAUCUCUCACAUGAACUGGUGGUGGUGGUGGUUGCUGUUGCAGGUGCUGCAUGAAGACGUGCAUCAUCUCAUUCUGAGUUUGCAUAAGUUCCUCCACAGUGAUUGGAGCAUUGCCACCAUUGCCAUUGCCACGGCCUCGGCCUCUGCCUCUUCCCCUUGCUGCCAUCUGCAUUCCAAGGUAUAGAAUCAUGUCUUAGUAAUGUCCAGCUUGACAAUUACAAGAGUUAACGGAAUCUGAAAUUUUCUGGAUAAUAUCCGACAUCAGUAGAUCAGAAAAUCAUUCAUAUCUCGAGUUCUAGAAUUUAAAAGGAUACAUGCUAUACACCGUUGGAAAGAUAAAGACAUUUUCUACAACUUUCAUUUAGAUCAUAUUACCAGAUUCCAACGUUAGGUUAAUCAAAAACUGUGUACAACAGAAACUGUUACAGAAUUCCAGACUGCACAGAAACCUCAUCUUUAAACAGCCAUAACUCACAGCUCAUAAAAGAUAAUAAUGUCAUUAUUGAGGCAUUGGAAAAAUAUGAAAGUCCAAUUGUUCCCAGAAAAAUUUGAUGAACAUUGCACGAACAGAUUUUGAGAUGUACCAGAUUCUUUGCAGACUGCUCCAGAAAACAGCAAAGGACGGAAACAGAAUUUUAACCAAACCCGACUAUUUAGUCCAUUAAUCCUUAUGCCUUAGGCCUAUAGACUAAAUGAAAUUGUAGAGAAAAUCUACAAGAUCAUUACACUCAUUACAAAGAUCCAAAUCAAGCAUAAGCAUAAUAACAAACCAAACCAAGCAUCAAAGGUUCACACUUCAAGCAUUGACUCAACUUGCGGUACUAUCGUUCUUUUCCUAUUAAGGCAAAAUCCUAAAACACCUAUCUCAGAGACGCCAGAAGGUGGUAAGAAAAGGUUCUAAAAUCAUAUCAAGCAAGGAGUGGGGUUGAGAACAAGUUUUUAAAAUAAGCAUCAAGGUGAAGAUGAAUAGCAAUGAAAACGAUAUAGUAUAGGAGAAAAUAUCAAGGUUUAUAGAACAAGGAUUUUAUAGCAAUUUCAAAACCUUAUGACGGCCAAUUUCUAACUAGGCUUGCGUCCGACAGUCAAUAAAGCUCUGAUACCAAUUUGUCACACCCAUAUUUUAAGAACAAAUAGGAUGCAUAAAAGACUCAUAUGUGUCCCAGAAAUAGUCGCACACAUAAGUAGACAAAUCUCAAAUGUACCAUUGCAGUGUUUAUUACAUAGCGGAAUACAAUAUAUCACAUAGUCUCAUAAAAAAAAUGAUAGCAUGAAGUAAACAACGCUCUCGACGGAAGCUCCACACAGGGACACUGUUGACUGGUUGACUGCAAACCUAGUACUCAUAACGGUAAUCCUCAUUCCAGUCAUCUUCAUUAUCAUAUCCUGAGGUGUUGGGAAAUUGCAAGAGUGAGCACAUAUCGUACUCAACAAGUAUAACCAAGGGUUUAUGAGACUCAAAUAGCUGACACGGGUUUAACUGCAUUUAGCUUUUAAUAGUGGAUAGCAUGUUCAUAAAUUAAUAGCAAAUGUCAAGGUAGUAGAAAUAAUCCAUGAAUCACAUGAUCAAGUGUAAGCAUAAUUAAUCCAUAGCAUAAACGAUAAUCAAAUGAACAUAACAACUUAAUAAGCUCAUCGUCGGCGCAGCAAGAACCCCCAAGGCCGCUCAUAACCGUGAGCACUGCUAGUAUACCAGUUUUACACUCUGCAGAGGUUGUACAUCUUUACCCAUGAGUCAUGAUUUACCCUUUCGCCCGAGGUAGCUAAUCUCUUAACCCCCUUCCUAGGGAGGUCGGCAGGGAUCACUAUGAAGCCUUUCAAAAGUUCGUCUAACAUGUUAGGGCCGCAAGGUUUCCUUUGCGCGCAGAUAUAGAUACUCCCCUUCCGAAUGGCACAAUGACGCGCAGCCUAUACACAUAGGGACAGGGGCUCGCACUAUACCCAAAACGGUUCAGCCCCUCCGUCCUUUCGGGUAACCUCUAACAAGCUAGAAAAGGGCUUCAUACUGAGCUAAAGCCAGAGCCAUUAUUGCCCUCAUGGUUGCACUGUUGUCCCGGUGAUCACUUACAGACAAGAUCUCAUAUAGUUAUUUGUCAUCAUUUUACGUUCAUUGCAUAGCUAUUAAUUAUCUUACAAGAUCAUGGAUUCUAUCAAGCACUAGCACAUCUACACCAAAUGCAUAUCAAGUGGGUAACAAGGAAUACAGGUAACAAACAUCUAUGAUUUUGCUAAGGUCGACAAGGUGAUAGCAUGCAUAUGAUAUAUAUGUGUAUUUAUAAGUGAAUAGGUAACAAGGACGAUCCCAAGUUAUACUUGCCUUGAUCAAAGCUCUCCUGAGCCUGCUGAUCUUCGAAAGCUUGGUCUUGAUCACCAAUGUACGGCUCACCGUCUAAACCCGAUCAUCAAUCAACAACACGCAAUCCAAUGUAGACAAUCAUACACGAAGCAAACAAGCUAUAAUUAGAACAAUACACCAAACAGUAGUAAAACAAAUAUAAAAGUUUAUCAAAAUAUUCUACGCAGUGCUACGAUCACACAAACGUAAAGUUCACGAAAAUCGGAAUUAAAACGGAGAAGAUAUGAAUUUUCUAAGAUUUCCUAUAGCGAAAUAAUUAAUUAAAUGCUACUGCAGAAUUAAAAAGUUUCAAAACAGUAAACUAAUAAUUCUAACUUGUGGAGCUCGUUGAAACGAAUCUAACGAAAUUUGGAUGGACAAAAACGGAAUUAAAAUGAGUAUUUUAUGAGUAAAACAAAAUCAGUGGCAUUUCUGGAAAAACGUAUUUGGAAGACCGACAGGAAUACGCUUUCCAACUUGGAAAACGGAAGCUUUCAUAAGGCGCCAAGGACUGCGGAGUAAUUAAUGAAAAUAUCCAGGGACUCUUAAAAAAAUGCGCAGCUAAGGAGUAUCGGUGCUUCCUGGCCGUCGAUUUGCAAAUCUCGAUUCCAAGCACCGUUUCGCGAAAGGAAAACACCACGGGGUAGAGGAGCUCACCGCGAGUUCAAGGAGGUGCUCGGUUGGGGCCGAAGGGCAAGGAGCGGGGCUCGCGGCGUGCGGCAGUUUGUCCCUGAACCUCGGCGAGAUUUCCAAGCUGAGGAAGAUGGCGGCUAGGGCUCGGUUUCGCAAUUUAGACGCAAAAGAACGACGCGGGGCGUCGCGGGGUACUUUAUAGGGUCUCGAUUCGCGAUAAGGGCAAGGAAAUCCCGAGAUUUCGCGAUAGAUUCGGUGGGAGGUUUCCUGCUCGGUUACGAACAGGGAGGAGGAAGGGGGAGACGGCGCUGUUCCGCGGGCCCCACCCGUCAUUGGAAGAAGGACAGGGUUCCGGCUGUCAGCGAGUGGAAGGAGAAGAGGGCACGCCCGGUCCUGGGCUGUGCGCGCCUGAUGGGCCGCAAAGCGGCCUGCGCGGGGGGGUUCAGCUGGGCUGCGGCCUAGUUAUUCCACGGAGGUUUUCUUUUUUUUUUCUUUUCUGGUUUCUUUUCCAAAUAGAAAUCUUGAAUGCAGAUA